UUAAGUGAUCAGCUAACAAAGAGAAAGUGAAAAUUAAAACAAUUAAGUCAAUUAAACAUCGAAAGAUUGAUGAGAAAAAUGGUCGAUGUUUAAAUUCUGUUGCCGGUUAGGCCUUCAAAUAGAAUAGAAGAGAAACAGAGAGAGAAAAAAGAAAGAAAAUCAAUGUGAUUCUUUUCUCUUUCUUUUUUGUUCUUUUCUCUUUUCCUUUGAUAUCCAAUGAGCGCGAUUUCGAUGUUGACCCGCGGCCUUUUCUCUUUAACAUUUUCUUUUCUUUUUUUUUAUUCCAUGUGCUUGGUUAAUUGUUUUCUUCAUCUUCUCUUCUAUUGAUUGAUUGAAAUGAUUUAGUGGUAAACGAAUGAAAAUUCAAUUCAAAAGUCAAUUGAGUUGGUGAAUUUGUGCCAAAUGGAAUCAUGUUUAUCGAUUAGAAUGUGGUGUUUUGUUGUGGUCGAGAAUUAAUCGCGUUAAUUGUGGCUGAUAAUCUAUUUGAGAGUAGAUUUUGGUUCCCCUGUUUGAAUUAUUCCAACUAUGGUUGAUUUGAAAAUGUGGAGAUUUAAGUUGGACUUUCAUACUUUUUUUUACAAAUCUAUUGGCAGAUGAACAAUUAAGUUUGAUUCUUUUGGUCUAUUGACUAUCUCAUCGGAAUCAAUUUUCGUUUGCAACUCUCACGAGAAUCUCGAUCAUUCGAUGAUUGGAUUUAUCGUCUCAUCGUUUAAUGGUCUUUAAUUGUGACCAUUAAAGGUGACGAUAUUCCAUUCGUUCCAGAAAAAUUACCUUAAAAACACUUAAUUGGUAACAUGGUCGAUUUGGAGCCAUUUCAAAGAUGAACUUGGUGUUUCCAAACAAUUUACCAUGAAAAAAAUUCAAUACUAAUCUUAAUCAAGGUUUAAAA